GAAGAGUGCGUUAUGACCCGUGGCCGCCUGCCCGGUGGGGGCGGCUCCUCCGUUGUGGGUAAACGGGAAACCCGACUCUACGAACCCGAGGAAAGGCUGCACAGCAGUAGUAGGGGCGUUAAGACCGGAGCUUUUUGUAGUGCUAGCAAGAAUGCAAGUGAAUCAAUUUCAUUCCCUAGCGAGUGAAGUGCUUACGCCCCUUUAGAGAGAGGGGCCAGCAAAAGAACUCGUUCUUCCAUUUUGAGAUCUUUAAAUUCGUAAGAUCAUGGUUAUGCUACUUAGGCACGUUAUCUCGGUAGUAAGGCAAGGAAAUCAUAAAGACCGGGAGCUGGGAAAAGACGCUCACUCAUACUGGCAGAAGGCAUUUUUAAAGAUAGCGGACAAGCAGAAGAAGAAAUAGAUUGGUAGCGCUAACGACCUCCAUAGCAUAAGGGGGAAGAAGUAAACCUUUCUUCUGGUCAAUCAAGUGCCCUUCCCUGGGAGGGUAAAAAUAACUACUAUGGGUUUUGUUUCAUUUUUUGAAAUUAACUAUUUCUAGGGUUUUAAAAUUCUUUUGAUUUUUCGGCUUUUCUGGUUUUACUUAGUUGGGAUUUGGGAUAUUGACGAUUUUAGGUGAGUAAAUAUUUCAAUUUGUUUGCAAGUUUACCCAAUUUCAAUCCCUAAUUUCGUCCCCAUUAAAAUCAAAAUUUCGUAUUAAUUUUCAAUUUAAUUUUACAGUAUACUCAAUUUAGGGUUCUUCCAAUGUGAAUAAUUGAACUAUUAAAUAAAUUGGGCUAUUUCUAGGGUUUAUUAUCCAUUGAAGGCUUUCAGCGUGUUAUGAGCUUAAUCUCCUCCAUUAAACCAGCUUCUUGAGAAAAUUAGCUGUUAGGGAAUCUCAGCCAUUGUUGCAACAACAGAAUCAACAGCAGCAACAGAUGGUUCCAUUACAAGAAACUUGUAUGCAGAGCAGAGCUGAAUCACUUCAGAAUGUGGAUUCUACAAUUCACGAAUUGAAUAAUAUAUUUACACCAUUGGCAACAAUGGUAUUACAACAAGGACAUAUUACAAUAAGGUUUGCAAUCGCAUCCUGUAGCUUAAGAUGGCUGUUUUGACUGAUACAACUAUGUGCUUUUCAUUUUCUUGUCUUUGUAGUUGCCUCUCAAGUUAUUUUUAAUAGAAUUUAAAGCAUUUAAUAUUUGCUUGUAUUGGUUUAUUGCAUCUUUUGCUGGACUUUGAUUUAAUGACGCCGUAACUAUCAAGUUGAUUGCCUUUUCAAUUUGAUGGGAUGUGGUUAUAACACAAUCUUGCUACUUAGUUGCCAAUUGCCAACUCCUCUCUAUAAUUAUCAAAAUUAUAUUUUGUUUUCUUCUCUACAAUGCUUAAGUAUUGUAAUAUUUAUGGAGUUAUUAUGUUUUUUUUUUGUAGUGAGAGUACAACAAUUUUCAGGUAUUGAGUUUGAUUUUGGUUUCAAUUAUACUUCUUGUUGCCGUCGUUAUGUUGUCAAGAGGUUCAUGCUCGCGUUAUUGACAACAGUGUGCUUCUUGGUAAUGGUUUUUCAGAAUUUUAAUUUGGAUGUUAUUCCCUGUUUUUGAUUUUUGAAAUUUUGUUUCUACUUCUUGUGUGGGAGGUUAGAUUAAGGAAAUUUCAGAAGUGGUUUCGGGAAUAAGUGUUGAAUUUAAAGGACAAAGUGGUGAACCCCAGAAGGAGGUAGAGUAGCAAGUCAAUGAUGGGAAAAAAGUCAUUGAUUUUGACGCACAAGAAGAGGUUACUGAGAUGUUGAAUGACAGUAAGAAGGUGGACUUCCACAGCUUCAGUUGAAGGGAUCUCCAAAAUCUGUGUCAGAAAAACAAGAAACCCGCCAACACUACCAAUGCUGCAAUGGCUGCUUUGUUUGAAUCUCUCGAAAUUGUAAGUUUCUUUUGCUACCAUUUCUUAAUUUGGCUGUUAAUACCUAAACCGUACGUCUAAAUUUUUGUAUAGCCGUCUUUGGAAGCCAAUGACUACAUUUUUGUAUAUUAGGUGUGAACCGAAUGCCAUAUUUAGUAGCCAUAGUUGUAGCUCAAUCACUAUGAUCUUGAUGUCAUUCACUUCUUUGAUUGCUUAGGAAAUGAUUUCAAAGGAUUUUAAGGUUAAGGCUCAUGCAAAAUAUAUUGAGUAGUUGUACUGACUACUCACUCUAUUUACUAAUAAAAUUCUCCUAAGGGUUUUUGGCUCAAAGAUUUAAAAUUUAAAAAUGGAGGGGUAAGGCUUUAGAUAGAUAGUGUAAAAAGGAAAUUAUUAUAUUGACAGUGUAGACUGUAGUGUAAAAGAAAGAUAAACCUUUUUUUUUAAGACGCACAUCACUUGAUAAAAUUGGGAUGAAUAUGGCAUAUAUAAGAUGUUGAUUUGUAAGUAGAGGGAGUAUAACUUGAUUUUACCGGGUGGGUGACAGGUUUGAGAAGGUGGGUAUAUGGGGCAGGGUGGGUGCACAUAGGGUGAAUGGCUCUUAAUUUAUUCUUGGUCCAUGGCCAAUGGCUGGGUAUAGAUUUCAUGUCUUUUAUUUACAUCACUAACUUGUGAAAUCCUGCCCUUAGUGGUCUGCUGUCUCUCCUGCCGUUUCCCUGGUAAUAUGUGACGUUGCAAUCUUGCAUGAAGUGUGAUAGGAGUGUAGAAUCAAAGUUUUUCUUUAUUUGUGAUCUUGUCAUUGAGACAGGGACAAGCAAAAGAGUUUUCGCACUGUCAGAGCCAGAUGAAGCAUCAAACAGAUGAACUUAAUAGAUCGGCAGUAGAGGUAACUGUAACUCUUGUGCACGAAUCGUCAGAUGCACCUAAUAAAACAGAAGUAGUGAGACCUCCUGCGCUCACAUUAGAUGAACGUAAAAGCAAUAGAAGUUAAUUAUGUACAUGAAUCUCCUAUUGAGAUUAAUCUAUUUGGUAUUGUAAUAUUGAAUCUUGUGAAAGCACAUCAUUCUAUGGAUGCUGAUUGCUAUGAAUUUGCUGUCAUUCUCCAGCUAUAACCAUGAAGAUCUAGAGGAAUAUAUUCUGCACCUUCUGGUAUUGUAGCACCUUUCUAGAAUGCUAUACUAAUCAUCUGUUUGAGGAUGCCAAAAAAAAAGGGCAUAUAGAACUAGCUUGAAAUGGUCAAAUUCGUCAAAAUCACUUACUGUUUU